rnacentral:misc_RNA from 1 species
AACGCACGAGACCUGCGGACCUGCGGAAGGAUCAUUAAAAAACUCGCCCGAGACACUUCUCGUCCAAGGGCCCCACACUGUGUGCACUGUUAUCGUUCUCUGGCAGGGGCUUGGGUUCUUUUUCGAAUCCAACUUCUCUUUCGGCUCCAUCUUCUUUGUGUCUCUCUCGGGGGAAAAAGAGGACAGUCGAUCGUUGGGAAGCAGUUUACCCUGCCAAGUAACACCUAAAACACGCUUUUU